rnacentral:ncRNA from 1 species
AACCGCACCCCACGGUGAAAAAUACACUGAUUAAAGAAGUGCUGGUAGACAUACACGUAUGGCCGAAGGCAGGGACUUAGGAAAAGCAGACAA